UACGUAGGGGGCUAGCGUUGUCCGGAAUCAUUGGGCGUAAAGAGCGUGUAGGCGGCCCGGUAAGUCCGCUGUGAAAGUCGGGGGGCUCAACCCUCGAAUGCCGGUGGAUACUGUCGGGCUAGAGUGCGGAAGAGGCGAGUGGAAUUCCUGGUGUAGCGGUGAAAUGCGCAGAUAUCAGGAGGAACACCAAUGGCGAAGGCAGCUCGCUGGGACGGUACUGACGCGUGAGGAGCGGAAAGCCCAGGGGAGCAAACGGG
rnacentral:rRNA from 1 species